ensembl:lncRNA
GAAGUGUGUGACCUAGUCCUGAGUCACUGAAGGUCCUAAAAUAGAUGCUAACUCUAAAUUUUUUAAUUCAUUGAGGACUGUUAACUCCUGUGUCCAAAUGGUCACAAAGCUUAAUUUAAGAGGCUCAUAUCAAUUAAGUAAAAGUUCUUCAGAAGUUAAGUUAUGAUAUGGAUUGGCGUUUAAAAAUAGCAUUGCCCUAGGAACAUAAAAAAGCUUAAAAAGUUUAAGCAUAUUAAUGGCUUUUCUGGGAAGUCCUCUAUAAAGCCACUCAUGAGCAUGUGAUUGUGAUGAAAGAGAAACAGACCCAUUCUUUUGUCUUGCCCAUUGAACAGAUUCAAUAAUUAUCAAAUUGAAUUGGAAUUGAUGGUUGAAAACAUCAGCGUUUUCAGCUUGAAAUCUUUUUGCGUGUAGCAGAAACCGUUGUUUGCCUAUAUCAAUGCUACUUCCUCUUUCUUCUUUGUGUCCAGUCCCAAAGCUGGAAUCACAAUUGGUCGGAACUUCUUUGCCAAUGAUAGAUUUAAGUAUGGACAUGUCAUUCAGUCCUGACUAAUGAAACUUAUGGGGAAGACUGCUGGGGUUUCUCGGCAAAAUCUGUCUUUUUUUUUAUUAAAGGGGAGAGAAAAAAAGGACAAAUUUAUAUUUAACUUUUCUUUUUUACUUUGAACACUAUCAUACAAGGAUAGAAAGUUUGGAGGUACUGUAGCUAUUGUCCAAUAAGGUAGAAGGCCAAGACAAUUAUGAAGAAACUAACCCAGCACCCUGACAAAGUGGAACUGCUAAAACCACCUUCGAGCCACUUACCUCCAGAUUUCUUAUUACAUGAAAAUAUUAAAUGCCUUCGUUGUUUAAGCUACUGGCAGCUAGAUUUCCUGUUGCUUGCAGGUCGGUGGAGUGUACCUGAAAUCCCAUUUAAGUGUAGGAUUAGCGGUGUGCCAGAGCCAACUCACACUAGCUUGGGAGACAACUGUGCCUAUGUCUUCCCAAUUCUGUUGUCAGUGAUUUCAAGUUGGUAGCUUUAAAUCACCUAUGAUAGGCCUAUUUACAUUAUGGGCAAUGCUAUAUAUCAAGGCUUUCUUUCCCAGAAAGCCAGCUGUUAAACAUUUAUCAGCAGCAUACCACUAGGUGACUUGCCUUACUCCUACAGAUAAUGUAAUAAUAACUACUAUGCCAUCUAUCAUUUUUUAAAGUGCAUUUUAAAAUAGCAAAUGGGUAAUGAAUUAUAUUAAGACAUUUUUAAGUUGUGGAAUUUUAGAACUGGAAGGGAUUUUAGUAAAGUAGAGCAAAAUUAAAUCUUGAUUUUAAAACUAACCUAACAGUACACAACCAAUAAAUAAUAGAGUCAAGUCUGCACUUUGACUCUUUAUUCUCAUCUUAAUGAUCUUUCAGUACAACAUAGAGCCAUUAUAUUAUUUAUACAAUAAUAACAACCACAAUAAUAAUUCUUUGUGAACAUCUAGCAUCAAAUAAAAGUAUUAAGCUGGUGAGAUUUUCAAUUUCUCUAUAAAUAGACCAACGUAGUUCUGAUAAUGCAUACAAUAAGUAAUGUUUAAUUAUAUAUUCUAAAUUUUAGUGUAUUCAGCAAAGAUGCAGACCUUGAAGAUAGCUGACAUAUGGAAACUGUUAGAAUGAGAUUAGAAGCUGCCAACAACCUUCAAUCAUCAUUACUCACAGUGAGUCCUGAUGAGUAAUGGGAUGAUCAGUUAGUUGUACCUCCAAGUACAUGGAGGAUACUCUCAAAGAGAGAGAGAGCUGAGCCUCCAGAGGCUGAAGGACUGUCAGAUGGAGUCUGAACUCCUUGUUCAACUGAAGAUCAACAAUCUUGAAAAACAGAAACUGCAUUGUGGGAUGACAUGAAUUCUCAAAGGAUCAGAACUGGACGCUGGGACAAGGGACUGGCAUCUUGGAGAGCACUCAGUGGAUAAUCAAUAGAUACUUACUGACCGAAUGACUGAUCGACUAAUGCACUUUUCAUUUGGAUUCCAAGUGCAGAAGCCCUUGAGGAUGUGCUGGUUUUCCUCCAAGUGAUCUGAAAUUGACCUCUACUGCACGGUAGAAAGUUCACUGCUCUUUUGCAGAUGAGAAAGUUGAAAUACAGAGAGAAUUUAAAUAGUCUCAAAGUCAAACAGGACGUUAGUGACAGCUACAAGCUGCAAUUAGAGGCCAGGCAUUCUGAUUGCCAGUCAAUUGAAUGUGGAGUCAUUGAACUGUUUUCUGACAUGAGUAGCUUUUAUCUGCCUGUUAAUCUCUCAUGUAUAAGCUAUAGCUCAUUGUAGUAUGAAUCUGCUUCUCUUUUUUAUUUUGUUUUCUUUAUUUUUGAGUGACUCUCAUAGGUAAAAAUGUAUCCAAUUAUCUACCAUGACGAUUGGUUAAAUUUUUUUUAAACUGAGGCAUAACUGACAUAUAAUAGUUUCAGGUGUAUAAUGUAAUGAUUCAAUAUUUGCAUAUAUCAUAAAAUGAUCACUGCAAGGAGUCUGGUUAACAACUAUCAUCAUAAAUAGAAUUUUCUUCCUUAAAAUGAGGAGUUUUAAGAUCCGCCAUGAUUGUUGCUUUUUGUUUCUUCGUUGGCCUUUUAAGAUCAGGAACUGUGCCUUAUAUAUUCUUACUAACACAGUACCUGACACUUGAUAGAUGUUUAAUAAAUAUUCACUGAGUGAAUAUUAUCAUUAAAAUGAUCUUUUUAGAGUCUGGACAAUUAACAUACUUAACUCCUCUUUACAUCGUCAAAGAAAGUUAAACUUAUAGUGUUAUUUCAUUCAUAGCAAUCUAUUCUUAAUGUUGAAUUACAUUUCCCUUGCCUAGUUAUUGUCCUUUAGGGGUUACACAAGAGAUUGAACUACCAUAACACUGUCCUUGGUUUGAUUCCUAAACUAUAGGCUAACCUAUGCCUUAAAUGCCCAAUCCACAGUAAGAAUAUAACAUUUAUAUAUUUAAGAGAAGAAAAUAACUUAACUGAAACAGGAGUCAGUUUAAGGAGACAGAAUUACUGCCCCCAAGUUAGAAAAAAAGCAUUUUAUCACUGACUCAUCUGAGCCAUAUGGAUUUCAUAACUGAUGAUUAGCUUCUCUUAAUCAGUUGAACAUCCAUUUAAGGGACAAAUUGAUUAGCUCCUUGCAUAAUUAACAGAACAUUAAGUACCAUCACUUUGAGUUGAAAAAAAUUGUUUUCAUUAACAGCAAAUAUGAACAGUUUAACAUUAAGACAUUAAAUGGAAUUAUCUCAAAUCAUUAUUAAUCUGUUUUUUCAAAAUUUUGAGGAAGUAUUUGCAGCUAGCUUAGUACCCAAUGUUUGUAAGUCCCAAAGCAUGUUCAUUUUUCUGGCUAGAGUUGAAUUUAAUAUACAUUUUCCACGAGAGAGUAAGAUUAUAAUAUACCAAUAUAUAAAUAAUAACCAAC